rnacentral:misc_RNA from 1 species
AGUUGCUUCUUCACUUGAGAUAUUGUCAGCAAUAGCUUGGUGAAGGUUCUCAACAUUUUCUUUUUCUGUACUGAUCUGCUUUUGAAUGGUCUCACUUGCAUCAGUUUUCAUAAUUUCCUUGCAUAAAACUUCAGUUUGCAUUUCCUCUGCUAACACCUUAUCUCCUAGAAUUUCUUCACCCUUUAUUUCUUGUUCUUGGUGGAUCUCUUUAGUUGCUUCUUCACCUGAGAU